UUCCCAUACUCCCAGGCAAGGGUUGAGAGAGGGAGGGGAAAGGGACGGCGGGGUGGGUUACUUACAGGGGCUAUGUGGAGUGAUUAUAUGGUAGUACAAAUGGUCCCUUUGAAAGGCAGUGUGUAUGUAUGUGUGUGUGUGUGUGUGUGUGUGUGUGUGUGUGUGUGUGUGUGUGUGUGUGUGUGUGUGUGUGUGUGUGUGUGUGUGUGUGUGUGUGUGUGUGUGUGUG